AUUGUAUGGGGUUAAAAUAUAAAAGCGAUUGGAUUUAGUGCAAGUAGGAGAUUGAAAGAAAUAUGCCCUACAAGUCAAUCGACUUGUGUAUAUAAGAGAUUUUUCUUGUAAUCUUCCAGACUUAUGUAAAUAACUUUUUAUAUUAAUAAAAGAUAUUUUUUGUUUCAUCAUAUGCUGCAUCUUAUAUUUUUUAAUUGAGAUCAUGAUGAACCUCAUAGAUCA
rnacentral:lncRNA from 1 species